rnacentral:rRNA from 1 species
GCUCAAGUGAGGGAAUUAAGGACGGUACGUUAUCCUUGUAACGGGGAUCCGGCAGGGUGGCCACCCAGUAAUCAGCACAAGUUAGAAUGUGGGCAACUCGGCAGUCAUUGCGCAGGCACUUUGGUGAAUUUAGAUAACCUUGGGCCGAUUGCACAUUCCCAUGACGGCGACGACGUAUUCGGAUGUCUACCUAUCAACUUUCCAUGGUACUUUCUACGCCUACCAUGGUGACCACAGGUAACAGGGAAUCAGGGUUCGAUUCCGGAG